GCCCUCGUAGCUCAAUUGGUAGAGCAGCUGACUCUUAAUCAGCGGGUUGUAGGUUCGAGUCCUACCGGGGGUACCA
rnacentral:tRNA from 1 species